rnacentral:rRNA from 1 species
UACGUAGGGUGCAAGCGUUGUCCGGAUUCAUUGGGCGUAAAGAGCGUGUAGGCGGCCAGGUAGGUCGGUUGUGAAAACUGGAGGCUCAACCUUCAGACGUCGACCGAAACCAUCUGGCUAGAGUCCGGGAGAGGAGAGUGGAAUUCCUGGUGUAGCGGUGAAAUGCGCAGAUAUCAGGAGGAACACCGAUUGCGAAGGCAGCUCGCUGGAACGUUACUGACGCUGAGACGCGAAAGCGUGGGGAGCAAACAGG